rnacentral:rRNA from 1 species
GGAGUCUGGACCGUGUCUCAGUUCCAGUGUGACUGAUCAUCCUCUCAGACCAGUUAUGCGUCAUAGCCUUGGUAAGCCAUUACCUUACCAACUAGCUGAUACAAUAUAGUCUCAUCCCUUAGCGAAAAACUUUCCCGACUUAACUUAUGUUAAGAAGGAGUAUGGAGUAUUAGCAGUCAUUUCUAACUGUUGUCCUCCACUAAGGGGCAGAUUAACUAUACAUUACUCACCCGUGCGCCACUAACUCAUAAGAGCAAGCUCUUACUUGUCCGUUCGACUUGCAUGUAUUAGGCACGCCGCCAGCGUUCACU